UACGGAGGGUGCAAGCGUUGUCCGGAUUUAUUGGGUUUAAAGGGUGCGUAGGCGGGAGAUUAAGUCAGAGGUGAAAGACUGCAGCUCAACUGUAGCAGUGCCUUUGAUACUGAUUUUCUUGAGUACAGAUGAGGCUGGCGGAAUUCCUGGUGUAGCGGUGAAAUGCGCAGAUAUCAGGAAGAACACCCGUGGCGAAAGCGGCUCUCUGGAACGGUACUGACGCUGAGACGCGAAAGCGUGGGGAGCGAACAGG
rnacentral:rRNA from 1 species